AUCAACGCUGGCGGCGUGCCUCAGACAUGCAAGUCGAACGAUUAAACUUUCCUUCGGGAAAGAUAUAAAGUGGCGCACGGGUGAGUAACACGUAGGUAAUGUACCUUUGGGUGGGGAAUAACAGUCGGAAACGACUGCUAAUACCGCAUAAUGCAGCGGCUCCUUCGGGAGACAGUUGUUAAAGAUUUAUCGCCUAAAGAGCAGCCUGCGGCAGAUUAGCUAGUUGGUAAGGUAACGGCUUACCAAGGCUACGAUCUGUAUCCGACCUGAGAGGGUGGUCGGACACACUGACACUGAAUAACGGGUCAGACUCCUACGGGAGGCAGCAGUCGGGAAUUUUGGGCAAUGGGCGAAAGCCUGACCCAGCAACGCCGCGUGAAGGAUGAAGUCUUUCGGGAUGUAAACUUCGUAAGAAUAGGAAGAAUAAAUGACGGUACUAUUUGUAAGGUCCGGCUAACUACGU
rnacentral:rRNA from 1 species